rnacentral:rRNA from 1 species
GGACCCGCACAAGUAGUGGAGCAUGUGGUUUAAUUCGAAGAUACGCGCAGAACCUUACCUACUCUUGACAUCCAGAGAAUUCGCUAGAGAUAGCUUAGUGCCUUCGGGAACUCUGAGACAGGUGCUGCAUGGCUGUCGUCAGCUCGUGUUGUGAAAUGUUGGUUAAGUCCCGCAACGAGCGCAACCCUUAUCCUUGUUUGCCAGCGAGUAAUGUCGGGAACUCCAGGGAGACUGCCGGUGAUAAACCGGAGGAAGGUGGGGACGACGUCAAGUCAUCAUGGCCCUUACGAGUAGGGCUACACACGUGCUACAAUGGCAUAUACAGAGGGCAGCGAGGCCGCGAGGUGGAGCGAA